rnacentral:SRP_RNA from 1 species
AUAAGCACAUUGGGUGAUUUCAUUUGUAAAUCCCGUCAGGUCAGAAAUGAAGCAGCGGUAGCAAGUUUGCGAUUUCUCGGUGUGCUCUUUUU